UACGUAGGUGGCAAGCGUUGUCCGGAAUUAUUGGGCGUAAAGGGCUCGCAGGCGGUCUUCUAAGUCUGAUGUGAAAUCUUGCGGCUUAACCGCAAGCGGUCAUUGGAAACUGGAGGACUUGAGUACAGAAGAGGAGAGUGGAAUUCCACGUGUAGCGGUGAAAUGCGUAGAGAUCCGGAAGAACACCGGUGGCGAAGGCGGCCCGCUGGGCAGAGACUGACGCUGAGGCGCGACAGCGUGGGGAGCAAACAGG
rnacentral:rRNA from 1 species